CAGGGGAAACGGUGGCUAAUACCGCAUAACGUCGCAAGACCAAAGAGGGGGACCUUCGGGCCUCUCACUAUCGGAUGAACCCAGAUGGGAUUAGCUAGUAGGCGGGGUAAUGGCCCACCUAGGCGACGAUCCCUAGCUGGUCUGAGAGGAUGACCAGCCACACUGGAACUGAGACACGGUCCAGACUCCUACGGGAGGCAGCAGUGGGGAAUAUUGCACAAUGGGCGCAAGCCUGAUGCACCCAUGCCGCGUGUAUGAAAAAAGCCUUCUGGUUGUAAAGUACUUUCAGCGGGGAGGAAGGCGGUGAGGUUAAUAACCCUGCCGAUUGACGUUACCCGCAGAAAAAACACCGGCUAACUCCGUGCCAGCAGCCGCGGUAAUACGGAGGGUGCAAGCGUUAAUCGGAAUUACUGGGCGUAAAGCGCACGCACGCGGUCUGUUAAGUCAGAUGUGAAAUCCCCGGGCUUAACCUGGGAACUGCAUUUGAAACUGGCAGGCUUGAGUCUUGUAGAGGGGGGUAGAAUUCCAGGUGUAGCGGUGAAAUGCGUAGAGAUCUGGAGGAAUACCGGUGGCGAAGGCGGCCCCCUGGACAAAGACUGACGCUCAGGUGCGAAAGCGUGUGGAGCAAACAGGAUUAGAUACCC
rnacentral:rRNA from 1 species